rnacentral:rRNA from 1 species
UACGUAGGGUGCGAGCGUUGUCCGGAAUUAUUGGGCGUAAAGAGCUUGUAGGCGGUUUGUCGCGUCUGCUGUGAAAAUCCGGGGCUCAACCCCGGACUUGCAGUGGGUACGGGCAGACUAGAGUGUGGUAGGGGGAGACUGGAAUUCCUGGUGUAGCGGUGAAAUGCGCAGAUAUCAGGAGGAACACCGAUGGCGAAGGCAGGUCUCUGGGGCCACUACUACGCUGAGAAGCGAAAGCAUGGGGAGCGAACAGG